AACCCAUGAUGUGGGCAUAUCUGGAUCAGCGUUUUAAAAUGCACCCAGGCUUCAUGAAAACCUUCUGCUUCUAAUUAUUUGAAUUUUGUAAUCUCUCUCCUCAGUU
rfam:Gossypium arboreum cultivar AKA8401 contig_29766_1, whole genome shotgun sequence.